CGAACCUUCGGGUGAGUGGCGCACGGGUGCGUAACGCGUGGGAAUAUACACAUAGGUGAGGAAUAACGUAGAGAAAUUUGCGCUAAUACCUCAUAAUGACUCCGGUCCAAAGAUUUAUCGCCUAUGAAUUAGCCCGCGUCUGAUUAGAUAGUUGGUAGGGUAAAGGCCUACCAAGUCUACGAUCAGUAGCUGGUCUGAGAGGAUGAUCAGCCACACUGGAACUGAGACACGGUCCAGACUCCUACGGGAGGCAGCAGUGAGGAAUAUUGGACAAUGGGGGAAACCCUGAUCCAGCCAUGCCGCGUGAGUGAAGAAGGCCUUAGGGUUGUAAAGCUCUUUCAAUAGUGAAGAUAAUGACGGUAGCUAUAGAAGAAGCUCCGGCUAAAUUCGUGCCAGCAGCCGCGGUAAUACGAAUGGAGCAAGCGUUGUUCGGAAUCACUGGGCUUAAAGCGUAUGUAGGCGGACUAGAAAGUCAGGAGUGAAAUCCCAGGGCUCAACCCUGGAACUGCUUCUGAAACUUCUAGUCUAGAAUCCUGGAGAGGUUGGGAGAAUUCCUAGUGUAGAGGUGAAAUUCGCAGAUAUUAGGAGGAACAUCAGUGGCGAAGGCGACUCCCUG
rnacentral:rRNA from 1 species